AUGAUCAAGAGCUAUAAUUUCAUGCGAAAUGUCAAGAAAAACUUAUUCAAAAUCUAUCCAGAUUUCAUCCAAAACUUCCUCAUUCAAUGUUCAAGUGUUAGAGUACACCAUUGUCACUUACAAACUCAAAUCAUUACACCAAUAAUAAAGCGAGAAGCUCAAAUUAUAAAUAUCACGAAAAUUGCAAGAAUUGGCAAAACCCAGCUUUCCAUGCUCUCUGUCUUCAUGCCUCAACCAAAUUCCAUGUUUUCUUUCAAGUCUCCAAACCAAGCUGACAGUUAG